rnacentral:rRNA from 1 species
UACGUAGGGUGCAAGCGUUAAUCGGAAUUACUGGGCGUAAAGCGUGCGUAGACGGUUAUCUAAGUCGGAUGUGAAAGCCCCGGGCUCAACCUGGGAAUUGCAUUCGAGACUGAAUAGCUAGGGUACGGUAGAGGGAAGUGGAAUUUCCGGUGUAGCGGUGAAAUGCGUAGAUAUCGGAAGGAACAUCAGUGGCGAAAGCGACUUCCUGGACCAGUACCGACGUUCAGGCACGAAAGCGUGGGGAGCAAACAGG